rnacentral:rRNA from 2 species
AGUCACGGCGAGUGAACAGGGAAAAGCCCAAAUUUGUAAUCUGGCACUUUUUACAAGUGUCCGAGUUGUAAUUUGUAGAGCUGUUAUCCGUACUGGACCAUGUACAAGUCUGUUGAAAAGCAGCAUCAUUGAAGGUGAAAAUCCUGUAGAUGAUAUGGACUACCAGUAUAUUUGUGAUACGGUUUCUAAGAGUCGAGUUGUUUGGGAAUGCAGCUCAAAGUGGGUGGUAAAUUCCAUCUAAGGCUAAAUAUAAGUGAGAGACCGAUAGCAAACAAGUACCGUGAGGGAAAGAUGAAAAGAACUUUGAAAAUAGAGUUAACAGUACGUGAAAUUGCUGAAAGGGAAACGUUUGAAGUUAGUUUUGUAUUCGUUGGAUCAGCUUCGCAAGGAGUGUAUUCUGAUGAUAAGCAAGUCAACAUCAGUCUAUGAGUGUUGGAUAAGGGUUUUGAGAAUGUAGCAAUUUAAUUGUGUUAUAGCUUGAGACUUGGAUACAAUGCUUUGGAUUGAGGAACGCGUAGUAAGCUUUGAGCGGAUUCGAAAGGAUCUCCUUACUAUGGAUGUUGGUGAAAUAACUUUAAGCGACCCGUCUU